ACAUCUAGCUACAGUAGUUAGCAAGCUAAAAAGGCAGGAGACAACGACCAUGAUUCUUUCAAAACGGAUACACUAUGAACAUUUCGAGACUCAGUCUCAGUAUUCGACAGACCAAGGAAGUCAAGGAGAUGAGACAGGUGGUUACAUCAGGGUGAAUCUGCAGUAUUGUGUGAGGUGGGGAAGCUCCAUGGGUCCAUCCAGACUGAGUCGCUCAGCCUCCAACAAGGCCUCUGAAGCCUGGGCCCCCAGUGAUCCUGCUGCCCA